AUUUUACGUUUCCAUAUCGUAUUAAAAGUUCAUAAUCUUGAUAAAACAUUAAUCUUUGGUAAUACUCCUUGCUGGUUCACGUUGAUUGUUCUAUUGAGUUAUAAGAAAUGAUUUUAAUUGCAUAUGGUUGCUCAUAAUAUUCUGCUCGUGCAUAGAGUCAUUUAUCAUUUCACCGAGUCCCGGGCCGGGUAAUGUUCGUGCGGAGUUUCUUGCAUAUGUCACCGAGUUCCUCA
rnacentral:lncRNA from 1 species